rnacentral:misc_RNA from 1 species
UCUUUGUAAUUGUACCAGAAUUUGCAACUUCAAACUGUACAUUUCUUGUUUGAGUCUUGUAAAUGGUGCCAAAGAGGCCUUUUCACGGUGAUUCUGGGGAUGGGACUGAUUCUCCAGCUCAAGACCCAAAGCGUUUAAAGAAUGCCAUCAGAGAUGUUUUGGGAUUGCUUUCAAUGCAGGAUAUGGUUACUAGGAUUGAACCUUUCCUCAGACUAGUGGUGCGAGAUGAGGUAGAACGGACUGUUCAACGAGUCCUUCAAUUUCAACCGUCCUUCAGACCCUCGUUCCAUCAGACUGACACAUCAGGAGCAAGAGGCUUUCUGCUGCAAUUCGUUAACAGACCACCCGCUACCAUAUUUACUGGUAGCAAUAUAGAAACUGAGGAUGGUAACCCCAUUAGGAUUGAAUUGUUGGAUGCUAAUAGCAAGACCCUCGUCACUUCUGGUCCUCUGUCUUCUAUGAAGAUUGAGAUUCUUGUCCUUGAUGGUGAUUUCGGUUUGGAUGACCGAGAAGAUUGGAGUGAAAAUGAAUUCAAUGCCAAUGUUAUCCGUGAAAGAGAGGGUAGAAGGCCUCUGGUGACUGGAGGAGAUUUAAAUGUUACACUAAGAGCUGGAAUUGGCAUGAUUAGUGAUAUAAUUUUC